UCAACUUUUUUUUUCAACAGUACUGUGAAUCUCCUGUCCUGUUUUCUAUCCACAUUUGAAUGAGUCUGUUAGAAAUGUAGAGUCUUUCUCUGCUUCCUUCCUGUACCAAGGAAAUAAUUCAAAGCCCUGUCAGUAUAACUGUACUUGAUAACAGCUAUUUUUCUCUCCCAGACAUUCAGAAUUGAAGGACUCUGCCCCACAUCCUUUUUUUUUGGCCACUCACCCCUGUUGAAGCAAUGAAGCUGAGUUACUGGAUAAUUUUCAGAAUUUGCAAUUUAUUUUUAGAGUCUAUAGGAAACUUGAGAACCAGAAUGACCCUCUUUUCCUUCCCCAGACUUGUGAUGGAUCCUUCCAGAAACCCUUGGACUCACAGUGUCAGCAUCUGUGACAAAUCUUAGAUAAAUAUAUUAAUAAGAAACAUCCUUUUUUUUUGCCAACUUCCUCAGAAUUAUACCUAGCGAAUAAAAGUGUAUGAAUUAACAUCUCUGUCAGGAGCGUCCAAUCACGUCAUCGCUAGGAACAGAAAAUAGAAGCCAUGAAAAUAUAGAGUUCUACAAUAAGGCUGCCCUGACUUAAGUACCAAAGUUUUCCUGAAACAAUCUUAUUGUUUCAUGAGCCAUUGAAACUCCAGCUUCUUGAAUUAUUGUUAAUGUAUAUAAACUUAAGAACACUAUUGUGGGAUCUCAAGAAACUUAACAGAAGACCAUGGGAGAAGGGAAGGGGAAAAAAUAGUUACAGAGAGGGAGGAAGGCAAACCAUAAGAGACUCUUAAAUACAGACAACAAACUGAGGGUUGAUGGGGGGGUUUGGUGGGGGAGAGGGGGAGGUGGGUGAUGGGCAUUGAGGAGGGUACCUGUUGGGAAGAACACUCUUGUGGUUAUGUUAAAAAGGAAUCUCUUUCUGGGGCGCCUGGGUGGCUCAGUCGGUUAAGCGUCCAGCUUCAGCUCAGGUCAUGAUCUCACGGUCCGGUCCGUGAGUUCAAGCCCCGCAUCGGGCUCUGUGCUUACCGUUCAGAGCCUGGAGCCUGUUUCGGAUUCUGUGUCUACCUCUCUCUCUGACCCUCCCCCGUUCAUGCUCUGUCUCUCUCUGUCUCAAAAAUAAAUAAAUGUUAAAAAAAAAAAUUAAAAAAAAAAAAAAGGAAUCUCUUUCUUUUUGAGUACUCCACUUCAAAUUUUUAACUCCACACUCAACUUGAAGUUGUCCCUGCUCAGUGAGAUGUCUCCCUUUCUGUAUUUGCUCUUGCUCCCCGCAACAACAGAUGGCUGUUUGUUAUUCAGUGCUUGCUAGGCUUACUGUGUGGAUAGGUAGCCUCUGUUAUCUUGGUGCAGUGUCAAUCUUAGACUGAUCCAUGUACCUGGUCCUUGGAUCUUGGAUUUUCUCAGCAUUAGGACCUCUGCUCCUGUGUCAGCCAAACACCACAUGUUUCUCUAUGCGUCUUGUGUAAGAAAAUGUUCUGCCUCUUCCUCAUUGUGUAAGCAGAGUUAGGGGGUCCUCAGAAAAAGAAAGAUGAAGCAUAGCUUUCAAGACACAAGAGAAAUCAUUUCAGGCCCGCAUCUAUUUUUGUGAUUUAUGCCCAACAGGACUACUUGCCCAAGCAUCCUGCUUGCAGAAUUUCCGAAAAGGUGUUGGAAAUUAAAAAGAAAUGCAAAAACCUCAGUAGUUAAAGAUUUUAAGGAAACAAAGGGAAUGCAAAAACUAGCAGUCUCUCCAAAGCCCAACAUAUCAGAUAUGAUAAAUCAGUAGUAAAACUCCCAGUGCUUUUUCAAAAGUAAGGAUUGACCUAACACACAUUCUUGAAUCAUUUUUGCAGGAUUUAAGCCCCUUUGAGCCUCAAACACCAGGCUAACUGGAGCAGAGAAUUGAAGAUACUGACCCUUGCUGGCCUUCAUGACUUCAAUCAACUAGGACCUGGACUCUGCCGUCUUAGGAAUUUUGUAGAAACUAGAAUCUUCAUUGGAUCUUUGCUGAAGAAGGAACAGGCAAGUUCCAGAAGGGAUCUUUGCUGAUUCUGUGAUUUCAGCUAGAUUCCCAUGAUUGGGAAUCAUGGGAGUAAAUCUGGAUCCAAGAAGAAUAAAUCCCAAAGAAACACUGCAAGGCCGAGGAAUCAGGGUGAUGUUGGCCUGGUUCAUCACCCUUUGAACUGCAUCCUGAAGGCUCCAGUGCGAUACAUCCAUCUCAACAGAGAAUCAGGAUGGCUACCCAAAACAAGAUGCUUGCAGCUGGACUGAGCAAAAAGGUCUAGCGGGGUCCUUAUCCAGAAACAUCCAAGAGCACGUCACCAUCGUUAGCCACAAUCAUCCUAAGGGAAAUCACCCAUCCCGUGUGAAUGUCCUGGCCUGUGACAAGGGUUGUGUGAAGAGGUAGGACAAGCACACAAGAUCCAAUUAGUCACCUUUUCCCUUUUUAAUAAACCGGUAUACAAAGUAUCUAGUUGGGCCAAAACGUAGGUAUUUUUGAUUUGGUAAACUUGAUAAACUAUGCAUACAACUAGCAGUUAUCGACUUCUCUAAACACUUUACAUAAAUCAACUCAUUUCAUCCUAUCAACUCUGGGAGGUAGCUAACAUUAUUCUUAUUUUUCCUGAGGAGCAAAUGGAGGUACAGAAGUUAAUUAAGCUCCCAGGAUCAUAGAGCAGAGUCCGGCUUCGAAUCUAGGCAGUGCACCUGAUGAAUGCACAAACCUGACCAGCUUAGAAUACUGCCUCUCGGGCGGUGUAAACCUUGCCAAGGGGGGGGGGGGGGGUGGUCAGCAGACCAGCAGCAGCA